rnacentral:lncRNA from 1 species
AUAUCAUUAUAGGCUGGGCAUUCCAAUAACACGUGUUUUUCAUCUUCAAUUCGGUUAUUAGGACCACAACAGUGGCAAAACCCCUGCCCCCUGGAAUAUAGCAGAAUGGAUAUAGCAUUCAAACGCUAUUUUUUGCGGGGCGAGAUAUGUAAGCCACUGACUGACUGACAGCAGUGAACCCGGGGGGCUCGGCCCCCGGGUGACACAAACACAAACACAAGCUCCCACCACGUUGACACUACCCAUCAAUUGUCACACGUGCCGCGCUAGCUACCGGCCUGUACGGAUGCAGGGGGGGCCCGCCCUUUUUCCGGCUUCGAGGAAGCCGACACUCGACUUGUUUAGCGCUAUCCGAGCGUUAGUCGAUACGAUUGCAUGCUAUGUAACCCGCCUCGCCUUGCUCGUCGUCGUCGUCGCCUUCAUCAUAGUGUAAUGCACAGGGCACAGGGAGCAAUUCAGGUCUAACUAAUACUGAUAUUAGCUAGCCGGCGGCUUGCGACUACUGUCGAGUUCACCAUUUAAAUGCCGCACUGCUGCGGAAGUCCUAAAAACUCUGCGUACGGGCGGGGGCUUUAUCUGAAUAUAGCUGGGGCCUCGUCCCUGGUUCGUCUGCUCAACCGAUCGAGAGUAUUUCACGACCGAAAUCUAAACUAAGAUGCAAGUCGCGGUUGACGAUGAAUCUGUUCGCACCCUUGAAGUUG